AGGACGAACGCUGGCGGCGUGCUUAACACAUGCAAGUCGAACGGUGACCCAGGGCUUGCCCUGGUGAUCAGUGGCGAACGGGUGAGUAACACGUGGACAACCUGCCCCUGACUUCGGGAUAACUCCUCGAAAGAGGAGCUAAUACCGGAUACGACCACUUCGGACAUCCGAUGGUGGUGGAAAGUUUUCGGUCAGGGAUGGGCCCGCGGCCUAUCAGCUAGUUGGUGGGGUAAUGGCCUACCAAGGCGACGACGGGUAGCCGGCCUGAGAGGGCGACCGGCCACACUGGGACUGAGACACGGCCCAGACUCCUACGGGAGGCAGCAGUGGGGAAUAUUGCGCAAUGGGCGAAAGCCUGACGCAGCGACGCCGCGUGAGGGAUGAAGGCCUUCGGGUUGUAAACCUCUUUCAGCAGGGACGAAGCGAAAGUGACGGUACCUGCAGAAGAAGCACCGGCUAACUACGUG
rnacentral:rRNA from 1 species